rnacentral:lncRNA from 1 species
CACAUCACCAGCUCUAGUUUGUCUUUUAUUUAGAGACAGAGUCAUACUGAGUUUCUUAGUUCCUCACUGUUGCUGAGGCUGGCUUUGAACUCUCGAUCCUCCUGCCUCAGCCUCCGAAGGUGUUGAGAUUCAGGUGUACAUCACCAUGCCUGUCAUGGUCAACAUUUCUGGCAAGCAUCUUUUCAGGUCUGACCUUAUCCCAUAACAUUGGACUAGGAGCUUCCAAGAAGGGGGAGCGUCUUGUGCAUUUCUAGCUGGGUUUAUAGUGUGCAGAUAAUCUGUGAGAGACAGGGCAGGUAUAAGCUAAGAGAAUUGGAUUUUCAUUGGGUGAAGGGCUUAUAUGUUCUUUCAUGAUGUUUCUUUGAUUAUAAUUAUUAUAAGAGAGUCAUUUGACCAAAAGGCAUUUUGCAAUAAAAAGAUUCAUAUUUUCUUAUCAAUUUUUGUGUUUCUCAAGUAUUGUGCAGUGAAACUGGUGAUAUGCUCUUAGUAUUGGUGGGCUGUUGGGCAGCCCUUGUAUGCAUUUCUGGAUGCCAGAAAGUUUUCCUUUCAUUUUCAUGUGCAUGAAAAUCAUGGGGUGAUUAUUUGUAUGAGAAAAUGAGAUGCUGUGCUUUUCCUGGAGGGAUAGUAAGAAUUCAGAGGGCUUCAGUGUUUUUAAUACUCUUUUUUUUGUGGAGUGCUGGUUUCCCUAAAAUGUUGAUAUGCAUUCAAAAUUUAGGGUUUGUUUUGUUUUAAACUUACCCAUGAUAAUCUGAUAUGUAUUCACUGGUGUGUGUGAUGCUGUCUGUGUGGCUAUUUGAGACCAAGGGAAAGUCAUGAUGUUUUUUGUGAGACUGUGCAGGGUUUGGUGUAUUUAGAGGGCUGUUGUUUAUUUGUUUAGGCUCAUGAAUGCACCUUGGGAUGUUUGGGUGUAAUAUGUGUGUUUGUGUAUGGGCUAUGUUAAUGAAUGUGUUUGGGUCUACAUUUAUGGGUUUGCCAUGAGAUUGAUAUUGUUGAGAAAUGGAGGAGUGGUAUUUGUAUACUUGGGAUAUGGGAUAUACUUGGUUAUGUGGGGUUUUAUAAAAAAUUUCUUUUCUUUAUUCAUGUAUAUGUACUUGCGUGCUUGAAGGCUGGUCAGUUACUAAUUUUGUGGAGUUGUAGGAUGAAUAUGUUCAAGUGUGGUGUGGAGUUGGUAGGGUUCUGCAUUUUUAUAGACAAGGAGUUAUUCAUAUUUGGGAGUGUGUGAACUUGUAUAUGAAGAUAGUAUAAUGUUUUGUGUAUAAUUUGGUAUAUUUGCAUAUUUUUAUGUAAUGGGUAACUGUAUAAAUUAGAUGCCUAUGGAGAGUCACUUGUGUCUUCAGUUUGUAUUAACUACUACAGCUCAGGUGUGUGUGGGUGUAUUUGUGUUGCAUGUAUCAGUAAUAGUUGUGA